rnacentral:rRNA from 1 species
GACGAACGCUGGCGGCGUGCUUAACACAUGCAAGUCGAACGGAAAGGCCCUGCUUUUGUGGGGUGCUCGAGUGGCGAACGGGUGAGUAACACGUGAGUAACCUGCCCUUGACUUUGGGAUAACUUCAGGAAACUGGGGCUAAUACCGGAUAGGAGCUCCUGCUGCAUGGUGGGGGUUGGAAAGUUUCGGCGGUUGGGGAUGGACUCGCGGCUUAUCAGCUUGUUGGUGAGGUAGUGGCUUACCAAGGCUUUGACGGGUAGCCGGCCUGAGAGGGUGACCGGCCACAUUGGGACUGAGAUACGGCCCAGACUCCUACGGGAGGCAGCAGUGGGGAAUAUUGCAGAAUGGGCGGAAGCCUGAUGCAGCAACGCCGCGUGCGGGAUGACGGCCUUCGGGUUGUAAACCGCUUUCGCCUGUGACGAAGCGGGAGUGACGGUAAUGGGUAAAGAAGCACCGGCUAACUACGUG